rnacentral:rRNA from 1 species
GCCUACGGGAGGCAGCAGUGGGGAAUAUUGGACAAUGGGCGAAAGCCUGAUCCAGCAAUGCCGCGUGAGUGAUGAAGGCCUUAGGGUUGUAAAGCUCUUUUACCCGGGAUGAUAAUGACAGUACCGGGAGAAUAAGCUCCGGCUAACUCCGUGCCAGCAGCCGCGGUAAUACGGAGGGAGCUAGCGUUGUUCGGAAUUACUGGGCGGAAAGCGCACGUAGGCGGCGACUCAAUUCAGAGGUGAAAGCCCGGGGCUCAACCCCGGAACUGCCUUGGAAACUAGGUCGCUAGAAUCUUGGAGAGGUCAGUGGAAUUCCGGGUGUAGAGGUGAAAUUCGUAGAUAUUCGGAAGAACACCAGUGGCGAAGGCGACUGACUGGACAAGUAUUGACGCUGAGGUGCGAAAGCGUGGGGAGCAAACAGGAUUAGAUACCCGAGUAGUC